rnacentral:rRNA from 1 species
UGGCGAACGGGUGAGUAACACGUGAGUAACCUGCCCUUGACUUUGGGAUAACUUCAGGAAACUGGGGCUAAUACCGGAUAGGAGCUCCUGCUGCAUGGUGGGGGUUGGAAAGUUUCGGCGGUUGGGGAUGGACUCGCGGCUUAUCAGCUUGUUGGUGGGGUAGUGGCUUACCAAGGCUUUGACGGGUAGCCGGCCUGAGAGUGUGACCGGCCACAUUGGGACUGAGAUACGGCCCAG